rnacentral:lncRNA from 1 species
UUUUUUUUGGACAGGCCUGCUGUUUUGGGGGCUGCUGGAGCGCGGGUCGGGUCGCUGCCCGGGUCGGGUUACAACUCAGGUCGGGUCGGGUCAAUCGACUUUUCUGUUUUUCCCCCUUUUUUUUCUUUUCUUUUUUCUUUUUCCCUUUCUUUCUUUUUCUCCUUCUUUUUCUUCUUUCUUUUUUCUUCUUCUUCGGCAGCACCUCUUCCUCUGUUUUCGCUGAUGGUGACCUACUGCCCGGCGACGGUUGGCAGUGGCACGCACGGUGGUCUUCUCUUUCCCUUCCCUUUUCUCCUUUUCUUUUUCUUCUUUGCUCUUUCUCUUUUUUCUCUUUUGCUUGCUUUUUUUCUUUCUUUGUUUGCUUUUUAUGUUUAGGAUUCGACGGUGGAACGACGAUGGUGGUGGCGCGACGGUCGUGGUGGCGGUGGGGGCAAUCGGCCGGACUUGAGUGGCCUCUUUUCUUCUUCUUUUUUUUUUUGGAAUUCCUUUUCUUUUUUUUUUGCUUUCUUUGCUUUUUUUUUUUUGCUUUCUUUCCUUGGCUGCCCAUUUUGGGGGUUUUAAAACCCCUUUUAUUUUGAUUUUUCUUCUCCUUUUUUGCAGGUUGCAGGUGGCUAGGGAGGGGUAGGCCGGCCGCAGCCUGUUGCAGGCGCAAGUUGCUCUGGUUGCUGCCAUAGGGACCAAAAUGUAAACUCAGUAAAAGUUUUGGGGUCAAAAUGUAAUUUUGAGAAAGUUUAGAGGUUAAAAUGUAAUUUAUAAAAGUUUAGGAUUGAAAUGUAAUUUUGAAAAAUUUAGGGGUUGGAAUGUAAUUUUAAAAUGGUUUAGGGAUUGAAUUGUAAUUUUGAAAAAUUUAGGGGUUGAAAUGUAAUUUUGAAAAAGUUUAGGGGUCAAAAUGUAAUUUUAAAAAAGUUUAAGGGUCAAAAUGCAAAUUUUUUUUAUUAAUUAAAAAA